GAAAAAAAAAAAAAACUCGAACUGAUCCUUGAGAAAUGGGAAAUUGAGAAGAGGUUGUUGGUCGUGUACCACUAAGGCACUAAGGAUGGGUUCUGUCUCUACGGCUUCUUUUAACAUACUGGUCCAAAUCUUGGUGGUCUUAGAAUACGACGAUUUUCAUGAGCCUUUUGACCCGAAUGUGACGGAUCUCAUCAACGGAAUAGGCAACAUCAAGAUCCUUCAAUUGACUUCUUCUGCUGUUGAGGUCAGUUUGAAGAUCCUUCGAUGUAUGAUGACGAUGAUGUUGACCAUGAUAAAUUGACUUGCGAAGAUUAGUUUGAUGGAGUGUACUGAAGAGAUGCGAGUCUACUAUUCAAAGACAAUUGCUGACGCCAAAAAGGUGCCAGUCAAGGAGGAUAUGUUGAAGCUUCCCAAGCUUCAUCUAGGCUUAAGAUGCAAGUUAUUUUAUCAUAGCCAACAUCACCGUCAUCGUCCAUCUGAUGUUCUUUUUCUUCGAAAACCAAUUCAUAAGGUCUUAAGUUUUUAAUGAUUUAUUAUUUAUGGUCAUAAUUCAUAAGUUCAUGUUUAGGUAUUGUGGUCCUUAAACUAUGGCAUGAACAAUUUUUGUUCCUUCUUGAACAUUUAACAACUCUGAUGUUCCUGAUUUUGUUUUGGUGCUGGCUUCUUCGUCCUCUUCUAUGUUACAACUGCUGCCAAAGUCUCUGAGUUUCACAGCCAAAGGAAGCAACUGGUACUUAGUGGUGUCUGGUACGAGGAUCCUUAUAUAUUCAGAUUGGUGUGUGAAAUCUGGAUGGCGAGGACACUUACCCGCAGGGUAUUCUUUAGUCGACUCUACGGGAGUUUUCACUCUCUUAUAGGUUAGAGGUGUGAGAGACCUACCUCUUGCUCUUCCAGAAAUGGAGAAUCUGUUAGAUAGUUUCCGGGAUCGCAAGGUUGAAACUGACCCAGCAGGCAGGACCUAACUGCGGUUAACAGUAGCUUCAGGGUCACUUUCUUUGACUGGCAUAUUGAAUAACCAACCAUAUCAUGAGCUGCGCAUAGACUCUGCCAAACCUCAAACAGUUUAAUUCUCAAUGAUAUGAAGUUAUCUUCCAACAGCCCUGUGCACGUGUAAAGACGGGAAGUAUCAGAGGAUGUAUGAGAGGGCGACAUGUAGAGACGGACUAAAAGUGAAGUUAAUAGUUUUUGAUCCAAUCAUGCCUGUGUCCAUGAAAAUUUUGCU